AUGGAUUUGCUUCGACACCUGGGCUUCCCAAGCCGCUUCCGUGAUUGGGUUUCGACGCUCCUCUCCACAACCUCCUCCCGUGUGCUACUUAACGGCAUUCCCGUCGACCUGAUCAGACAUGGACAAGGCCUUCGGCAAGGGGACCCGCUCUCGCCACUCCUCUUUGUCCUUGCUAUUGACCCCCUACACCACAUACUUGCCAAAGCCACGACCCAAGGGAGCUUGCAUCCGCUCAGAGGUAGACCGGUCCGUGCAUCCUUGUACGCCGAUGAUGCUGCCAUCUUCGUUGCACCCACUAAAAGUGAUAUUCAAUUCUUGGCGUCGACAUUGGCCUCUUUUGGGGAGGUCACCGGCUUGGUCACCAAUUGUGCAAAGAGUCUCUUUGCGCCUAUCUGUUGCGAGGGCAUCGACCUUCAGGAUGUUCUACAUGACUUUCCAGCAGUUCGCUCCGGCUUCCCAGUGCGAUAUUUGGGGCUGCCCCUCUUAGUUAGAAGACUCAAAAGGAUACAUUUCCAAUAUUUAGAGGACAAGGUCGCCGGCAAGCUCCCGCCAUGGGCGGCCAAGCACGUGGCCACCCCUGGUCGUAUUGUCCUCAUCAAGGCGGUGCUCACGGCCAUUGCAAUCUACCAUGUGAUGCCCCUUGAUUUACCGGUGGAGGUGAGGAAGAAGAUUGAUAGUUUGAGACGCGCAUAUCUGUGGGCAGGUUGUGACAAGGUCACGCGAGGAAAAUGCAAAGUUAAUUGGGAACUUGUGUGUAAGCCAAGGAUCUAUGGUGGGCUAGGAGUGCUCAACCUUGAGAAAUUUGCAACCGCCUCGCGUCUUCAUUGGCUUUGGUAUGAAUGGGCAGAUCCCCCUAAGCUUUGGCUAGGCUCUGGAACACCAUGUAUUGACAAGGACAGAGACAUUUUCGCGGCUGCCACCAUGGUUCACAUCGGAGACGGGUGCAGCGCGAGCUUCUGGAACUCCUCUUGGCUGGAUGGGAUCAGGCUGAAAGACAUUGCACCCGCUCUCUAUGACAUCUCUAAGAAAAAGACGUACACAGUCCAAAACGCACUCUUGAACAAUUUUUAG
rnacentral:rRNA from 1 species